rnacentral:rRNA from 1 species
AUGAGAGCUCCAGGAGGCCAUGAAAAAAGCGAGACCUUGGAGCAGAGUCUACCAGGGAAAGAAUUCGAACUUGCCCAAGCUCUCCAAGCCGCAAAUGAUGUUCGGGGGGAAGCCCGAGGUGCUUUGAAGGACAUUCAUGAGGCGAGGAGGAUUGCGGCUGGGGCGUUUGCCGACCUGCCAUGCAGCAUAUCUGAUGUUGCUCAAUUCUACCGGGCUAAGGAGAAGAAGUCUGUGGGAAAGCAUUUCUGGUCGAAGUAUUUGGCGCCGAAUUAUCCGGUGCCCUUUGUCGAUCAGCUGAAGCAGCUGAUAGAAUUGCACCAGGCGGCCGAACUAGCCAUGAAGGACUUAGUUGUCCGGCUGUGGCCCGCUGAGCCAAUUCCAAGCAGUUACUUCGGACUCGUGAAGCGGAUUGUUGGUGCUUGCCCUCGGCUCAAAGUCAUUAAGCGGUCGGUCUGUAUAGAAGGUGCACGCAUGGCAUUUGCCCGUGCGAAGGUGCACUGGGGAAGCUUGAUGCUGAAAAGCUGA